rnacentral:rRNA from 1 species
UACGUAGGGGGCAAGCGUUGUCCGGAAUCAUUGGGCGUAAAGGGCGCGCAGGCGGCCCGGAAAGUCGGAUGUGAAAACUCGGGGCUCAACCCCGAGCGUGCACCCGAUACUGCCGGGCUUGAGGCAGGUAGGGGAGAUCGGAAUUCCUGGUGUAGCGGUGAAAUGCGCAGAUAUCAGGAGGAACACCGGUGGCGAAGGCGGAUCUCUGGGCCUGUCCUGACGCUGAGGCGCGAAAGCUAGGGGAGCGAACAGG